rnacentral:rRNA from 1 species
UACGAAGGGGGCUAGCGUUGUUCGGAUUUACUGGGCGUAAAGCGCGCGUAGGCGGACAUUUAAGUCAGGGGUGAAAUCCCAGGGCUCAACCCUGGAACUGCCUUUGAUACUGGAUGUCUGGAGUUCGGGAGAGGUGAGUGGAAUUCCGAGUGUAGAGGUGAAAUUCGUAGAUAUUAGGAAGAACACCAGUGGCGAAGGCGGCUCACUGGCCCGGUACUGACGCUCAUGUGCGAAAGCGUGGGGAGCAAACAGG